rnacentral:rRNA from 1 species
CUGCUAUCGAGGUUCGACUAAGCCAUGCGAGUCGAAUGUAGCAAUACAUGGCGAACUGCUCAGUAACACGUGGACAACCUGCCCUUAGGUUGGGUAUAAACCCGGGAAACUGGGUAUAAUACCCGAUAGGUCUCGAUUGCUGGAAUGCAUCGAGAUUUAAAGCUCCGGCGCCUAAGGAUGGGUCUGCGGCCUAUCAGGUAGUAGUGGGUGUAGCGUACCUACUAGCCUACGACGGGUACGGGUUGUGAGAGCAAGAGCCCGGAGAUGGAUUCUGAGACACGAAUCCAGGCCCUACGGGGUGCAGCAGGCGCGAAAACUUUACAAUGCUGGCAACAGCGAUAAGGGAACCUCGAGUGCCAGGUUACAAAUCUGGCUGUCGAGAUGCCUAAAAAGCAUUUCAUAGCAAGGGCCGGGCAAGACCGGUGCCAGCCGCCGCGGUAACACCGGCGGCUCGAGUGGUAACCGUUAUUAUUGGGUCUAAAGGGUCUGUAGCCGGCCGGAUAAGUCUCUUGAGAAAUCUGGCAGCUUAACUGUCAGGCUUUCAGGAGAUACUGUCUGGCUCGAGGCCGGGAGAGGUGAGAGGUACUUCAGGGGUAGGGGUGAAAUCUUGUAAUCCUUGAAGGACCACCAGUGGCGAAGGCGUCUCACCAGAACGGACCUGACGGCAAGGGACGAAAGCUAGGGGCACGAACCGGAUUAGAUACCCGGGUAGUCCUAGCCGUAAACGAUACUCGCUAGGUGUCGGCCACG